CACGUAGGCACCAAGCGUUGUCCGGAUUUAUUGGGCGUAAAGAGCUCGUAGGCGGUUGAGUAAGUCGGGUGUGAAAACUCUGGGCUUAACCCAGAGCCGCCACCCGAUACUGCUCUGACUUGAGUUCGGUAGGGGAGCAGGGAAUUCCUAGUGUAGCGGUGAAAUGCGCAGAUAUUAGGAGGAACACCAGUGGCGAAGGCGGCUCUCUGGACUGUAACUGACGCUGAGGCGCGAAAGCGUGGGGAGCAAACAGG
rnacentral:rRNA from 1 species